rnacentral:rRNA from 1 species
UGUCGGAGGGUUACCCCCUUCGGUGGCGAGCUAACGCAUUAAGUACUCCGCCUGGGAAGUACGCUCGCAAGAGUGAAACUCAAAGGAAUGACGGGGACCCGCACAAGUAGCGGAGCAUGUGGUUUAAUUCGAAGCAACGCGAAGAACCUACCUAAGCUUGACAUCCCAAUGACCUCUCCCUAAUCGGAGAUUUCCCUUCGGGGACAUUGUGACAGGUGGUGCAUGGUUGUCGUCAGCUCGUGUCGUGAGAUGUUGGGUUAAGUCCCGCACGAGCGCAACCCUUGCCUUUAGUUGCCAGCAUUAAGUUGGGCACUCUAGAGGGACUGCCGGGAUAACCUGGAGGAAGGUGGGGAUGACGUCAAAUCAUCAUGCCCAUUAUGCUUAGGGCACACACGUGCUACAAUGGGUGGUACAGAGGGCAGCCAAGUCGUGAGGCGGAGCUAAUCCCUAAAGCCAUUCUCAGUUCGGAUUGUAGGCUGAAACUCGCCUACAUGAAGCUGGAGUUACUGUAAUCGCAGAUCAGAAUGCUGCGGUGAAUGCGUUCCCGGGUCUUGUACUCACCGCCCGU